rnacentral:rRNA from 1 species
GAUGAACGCUGGCGGCGUGCCUAAUACAUGCAAGUCGAGCGAACGGACGAGAAGCUUGCGUCUCUGAUGUUAGCGGCGGACGGGUGAGUAACACGUGGAUAACCUACCUAUAAGACUGGGAUAAUUUCGGGAAACCGGAGCUAAUACCGGAUAAUAUUUUGAACCGCAUGGUUCAAAAGUGAAAGACGGUCUUGCUGUCACUUAUAGAUGGAGCCGCGGUGCAUUAGCUAGUUGGUAAGGUAACGGCUUACCAAGGCAACGAUGCAUAGCCGACCUGAGAGGGUGAGCGGCCACACUGGAAGUGAGACACGGUCCAGCCUCCUACGUGAGGCAGCAGGAGGGGAGCUGCCGCGAUGGGCGAGAGCCUGACGGAGCAACGCCGCGUGAGUGAUGGAGGUCUUCGGUUCGUAAGUCUCUGUUAUUAGGGAAGAACAUAUGUGUAAGUAGCUGUGCACAUCUUGACGGUACCUAAUCAGAAAGCCCCGGCUAACUCCGU